rnacentral:rRNA from 1 species
GGCGAAGGGGGCUAGCGUUGUUCGGAAUUACUGGGCGUAAAGCGCGUGUAGGCGGUUGUUCAAGUCGGGUGUGAAAGCCUUGAGCUCAACUCAAGAAAUGCACUCGGUACUGGAUGACUAGAGGACCGGAGAGGAUAGUGGAAUUCCCAGUGUAGUGGUGAAAUACGUAGAGAUUGGGAAGAACACCAGUGGCGAAGGCGGCUAUCUGGACGGUUUCUGACGCUAAGACGCGAAAGCGUGGGGAGCA